GAUAUUAAUACAAAUACACUGGAAAUUGCCUCAAAAAAUUGUUGAAGUGGGAUUUAAGCUGAAUUGAAGUUGAGGAGACAUAUCCAAGCAAAAGUGUGGCAUACAGAUAAGCAUGUUAUAUCUAUAUGAGGAUCAGUGAAUUUGUAGUUUGGCCACAUCAAAACUAGCAGGUAACUUAAAUGGAGAGCCAGAUCAUAGAAGAACUUGGAUGGAGGGCCAAAGAAUUGGGCAGUGGAGUUCUUAAAGAGUAUUGAGCAGAGGUAUGAUGUAUAUAUGAGUAUAUUUAAGAUCUGUUUUUAAAUUCACAUAUUAAUGCUAAAAAAUAACCUUGACUUUCUUAUAGAGAAUGGUUUUUCUUGCUUUCACAUGAAGUUUUGAACCCAAUGUAUUGCUUAUUUGAGUAUGCGGGCAAGAACAACUAUUGUCUGCAGAUAAAUCCAGCAUCAACCAUUAAUCCAGACCAUCUUUCAUACUUCUGUUUCAUUGGUCGUUUUAUUGCCAUGGCACUAUUUCAUGGAAAGUUUAUCGAUACUGGUUUCUCUUUACCAUUCUACAAGCGUAUGUUAAGUAAAAAACUUACUAUUAAGGAUUUGGAAUCUAUUGAUACUGAAUUUUAUAACUCCCUUAUCUGGAUAAGAGAUAACAACAUUGAAGAAUGUGGCUUAGAAAUGUACUUUUCUGUUGACAUGGAGAUUUUGGGAAAAGUUACUUCACAUGACCUGAAGUUGGGAGGUUCCAAUAUUCUGGUGACUGAGGAGAACAAAGAUGAAUAUAUUGGUUUAAUGACAGAAUGGCGUUUUUCUCGAGGAGUACAAG
rnacentral:sRNA from 1 species